UACGAAGGGGGCUAGCGUUGUUCGGAAUUACUGGGCGUAAAGCGCACGUAGGCGGAUACUUAAGUCAGGGGUGAAAUCCCAAGGCUCAACCUUGGAACUGCCUUUGAUACUGGGGAUCUCGAGUCCGGAAGAGGUUGGUGGAACUGCGAGUGUAGAGGUGAAAUUCGUAGAUAUUCGCAAGAACACCAGUGGCGAAGGCGGCCAACUGGUCCGGAACUGACGCUGAGGUGCGAAAGCAUGGGGAGCGAACAGG
rnacentral:rRNA from 1 species